GACGAACGCUGGCGGCGUGCUUAACACAUGCAAGUCGAACGGAAAGGCCCUGCUUUUGUGGGUUGCUCGAGUGGCGAACGGGUGAGUAACACGUGAGUAACCUGCCCUUGACUUUGGGAUAACUUCAGGAAACUGGGGCUAAUACCGGAUAGGAGCUCCUGCUGCAUGGUGGGGGUUGGAAAGUUUCGGCGGUUGGGGAUGGACUCGCGGCUUAUCAGUUUGUUGGUGGGGUAGUGGCUUACCAAGGCUUUGACGGGUAGCCGGCCUGAGAGGGUGACCGGCCACAUUGGGACUGGGAUACGGCCCAGACUCCUACGGGAGGCAGCAGUGGGGAAUAUUGCACAAUGGGCGGAAGCCUGAUGCAGCAACGCCGCGUGCGGGAUGACGGCCUUCGGGUUGUAAACCGCUUUCGCCUGUGACGAAGCGUGAGUGACGGUAAUGGGUAAAGAAGCACCGGCUAACUACGUG
rnacentral:rRNA from 1 species